UGGGGAAUAUUGCACAAUGGGCGCAAGCCUGAUGCAGCCAUGCCGCGUGUAUGAAGAAGGCCUUCGGGUUGUAAAGUACUUUCAGCGGGGAGGAAGGCGAUAAGGUUAAUAACCUUGUCGAUUGACGUUACCCGCAGAAGAAGCACCGGCUAACUCCGUGACAGCAGCCGCGGUAAUACGGAGGGUGCAAGCGUUAAUCGGAAUUACUGGGCGUAAAGCGCACGCAGGCGGUCUGUCAAGUCGGAUGUGAAAUCCCCGGGCUCAACCUGGGAACUGCAUUCGAAACUGGCAGGGUAGAGUCUUGUAGAGGGGGGUAGAAUUCCAGGUGUAGCGGUGAAAUGCGUAGAGAUCUGGAGGAAUACCGGUGGCGAAGGCGGCCCCCUGGACAAAGACUGACGCUCAGGUGCGAAAGCGUGGGGAGCAAACA
rnacentral:rRNA from 1 species